ensembl:lncRNA
CUGCUCUCCCAGAGGCCCAACCAGCAUCACUCAUGGCUCGGCUCUGGCCAGCGGCGGGUCCCUUUUGGAGCCAUCUGGAGCUGGCUCUGAUCUGACCUGGGGCAGCUGCUGGGCUCUGCUCACAGAGGCCACCCCUGCAGUCCCCCGCUACCAGAACCUUGCCAUGUAAACCAAAUAUAGUGGCUCUUGCAUGCUUUGUCUUCAAUAGUAACAUAGAAGUUAAUAGCUACUAUACACUACGUUCAUGCAAGGUGAUGCAGUUUGAUACCCUUCGAAGAAAAGCAAGGAGUCAUCUGAGUGGGGCACUUAACUGUGUUAUAGGCUUCUGGGAAAGACAAAUGCUUUGCUGAAUAGAAGCAGCGUAUCUUCACUUGCCUUUACCAUUCUCCUCUGUGACUGCUAUUGCACCUGUUGUCUGUAGUGGCAGCCUUUUUCAGCUGUUCUUAGGAGAGAAGGUUUUGUCCCAAGACCAUUAAGUGCCACUUUCUUACAUAAGACAUUGUAUCGUGGAGUCCUCAGCCAAGAUGUAAACUGAGCCUGUAUGUAUUCUAUGAAAGGAUUUUCAAAUUAUAUACUUCAGAAGUCAUGAAGUAAAUGUGAGUCCAUAAUGACAUGCUUUUGUGAACAAGAUAAGUAUCAUCUGAAAAAUAGUUAUCAUAUUUUUCUGUUUGUCAGGCUUGACUGCUCUAUUACACCAAUUUUGGGGAAGCAUGCCAAGAAAAAAGUGGACUGGUCGGAGAGAGUCCCAAGGAAAGCAGAUGGGUUUGUCAGGGAACAGGAAAGCACAGCCAAUGAAAAGAAAAUUGAAGGAAUGGGGCUUGUCCAAACGAAAAAGUUCUCAGAACGCUGGGUCUGCCAGAGGCUACCAACCAACCACUCAGGAGCUAACAACUGCCCUUCAGGAAAGUGUGUAGUGCACAAAGAUACACAAAAUAUUGUCAGCUCAAGGCUGUGCAGAAGACAAUCCACUGGGAGCAGAUCAUUCCUGGGCUAGUGCUAAUGAUGCAAAUUUUAGUCUUUAUAAGCUAGCAGGGGAUUUGUCUCUAGCAGUUUAAUUAUAACUGUCUCCGCCAGGUCUCUGAAGAUGACUGGAUUCAAGUCCAUAUUUUGAUAUCUUAUGGCACCAUUUUCAGUGGGCUGCUGUCUGUGGUCUCAGUACUCUAGAGAUCUUAAGAGUUAAAUUUUCUAAUGUGUUCUCCAUACACUGAGAAUUUAGAACAAAGUCUUUUACCAAACUGAUAAAUUUGGUAAUCAGUUGAUUGAGUGUCCACAUCCAAGACCAAGACAGUCUAACACAUAAAAUUUGCUGAAUACAUGCACUAGUACACAAAGCUAAGCAAUGAUGUAUGUACUUGUUAGCAAGAUCUCACUGUUGAUUGUGCAGUGGUCAAACACAACACUGGAUCUGCAAUUUUGCCAUUUGGUGUGAGAGACAGUGCUGGAAUGGAUAUUUUAAAAAUAAUGAGAGAGAAGAAAAGUGUGGGAAAAGAAAUGAUUGAGGGAAAAAAAACCACAGAAAACAAAAUCUUUAUACAGAAUUAUUCACUUCAUCAUCUAAAAUACUUCAAAAACUGCACUUGGAGGACAUUGUAUAUUUCUGUCUCUUUUUACUAACGAGUGAUGAAGAAGGGGUUUCUAAAGAGCAUGCUAGAAAUGUAUGAGGUAACACACCUACCAGUGAUCCAAAUGCCUCAGCAAAUGCCUACUAUGUUAAGAUAUGAUUUAUUAAAGCUUUUUAAUAAAUAUUAUAGUUAUUGGUCUCUUUGAAUUAUU